rnacentral:rRNA from 1 species
CUGGCGGCGUGCUUAACACAUGCAAGUCGAGCGGUAAGGCCCUUCGGGGUACACGAGCGGCGAACGGGUGAGUAACACGUGGGUGAUCUGCCUCGUACUUCGGGAUAAGCCUGGGAAACUGGGUCUAAUACCGGAUAUGACCUUCGGAUGCAUGUCUGAGGGUGGAAAGAUUUAUCGGUACGAGAUGGGCCCGCGGCCUAUCAGCUUGUUGGUGGGGUAAUGGCCUACCAAGGCGACGACGGGUAGCCGGCCUGAGAGGGCGACCGGCCACACUGGGACGACACGGCCCAGACUCCUACGGGAGGCAGCAGUGGGGAAUAUUGCACAAUGGGCGAAAGCCUGAUGCAGCGACGCCGCGUGAGGGAUGACGGCCUUCGGGUUGUAAACCUCUUUCGACAGGGACGAAGCGCAAGUGACGGUACCUGUAGAAGAAGCACCGGCCAACUACGUGCCAGCAGCCGCGGUAAUACGUAGGGUGCGAGCGUUGUCCGGAAUUACUGGGCGUAAAGAGCUUGUAGGCGGUUCGUCGCGUCGUUCGUGAAAACUUGGGGCUCAACCCCAAGCUUGCGGGCGAUACGGGCGGACUAGAGUACUUCAGGGGAGACUGGAAUUCCUGGUGUAGCGGUGAAAUGCGCAGAUAUCAGGAGGAACACCGGUGGCGAAGGCGGGUCUCUGGGAAGUAACUGACGCUGAGAAGCGAAAGCGUGGGUAGCGAACAGGAUUAGAUACCCUGGUAGUCCACGCCGUAAACGGUGGGUACUAGGUGUGGGUUUCCUUCCACGGGAUCCGUGCCGUAGCUAACGCAUUAAGUACCCCGCCUGGGGAGUACGGCCGCAAGGCUAAAACUCAAAGGAAUUGACGGGGGCCCGCACAAGCGGCGGAGCAUGUGGAUUAAUUCGAUGCAACGCGAAGAACCUUACCUGGGUUUGACAUACACCGGAAACCUGCAGAGAUGUAGGCCCCCUUGUGGUCGGUGUACAGGUGGUGCAUGGCUGUCGUCAGCUCGUGUCGUGAGAUGUUGGGUUAAGUCCCGCAACGAGCGCAACCCUUAUCUUAUGUUGCCAGCGCGUAAUGGCGGGGACUCGUGAGAGACUGCCGGGGUCAACUCGGAGGAAGGUGGGGACGACGUCAAGUCAUCAUGCCCCUUAUG